GAUCAUGGCUCAGGAUGAACGCUAGCUACAGGCUUAACACAUGCAAGUCGAGGGGCAGCAUUUCAAGUUUGCUUGUCAAACUGGAGAUGGCGACCGGCGCACGGGUGAGUAACACGUAUCCAACCUGGCCGAUAACUCGGGGAUAGCCUUUCGAAAGAAAGAUUAAUACCCGAAUAGUACUAAUGAAACCGCAUGGUCUUAUUAUUAAGAAUUUACGGUUAUUCGAUGGGGAUGCGUUCCCAUUAGGCAG
rnacentral:rRNA from 1 species